AAAAGAAUAAAUAGAACUUUUGCACAGAGAAAAUAUAUAUAAAACUUUAACAACAUAUUUAACUGACCUCGACAGGUGCCUGAGACCUUUGCAAGCUAACCGCACGGAUCAAUCCCUUCUUCAAUCACUUCGAUCCUCCACUCUCCGCGAAUUCUUCCACCAGCGCCCAUGAAGCUCGAAUCACUUCAGGUAAGAUAAACUUCAAUUGUGCUAAAUGGCUAUGGGAGAACCUCCUUAAAAAAUUAGAUGAAGACAUUAGGUUAAAAGCAGAAGAUUUCGUGUAUCAGACGUUUAUCUAUCCGUCAAAUACUCAAUUUUGGGACUAAUAUUAGUAAACGUGACAUAGAGCCCUUCGACCGAGCAGCCUAACCGAACUAUCCAAGCUAUCAAAGAAGAACUUGCCCAUACUCAUACCUAAAACAAAUCAAAAGCCUCACAGAAAUUUAACCAAAAUGUGUCCCAGAUACUUGUCCAUAAGACAUAAACAAAUUCCCUCUAGUUUUAAAUAUAUCACAAUGUAAUACGUUUUUGGAGCUUCAAGCACAAUUUCACAAAUGUUCUCUAAGAAAAAAAAAAUGCUUUUUUCAUGCAUUUUGCAGAAGUUAAAAGGUCUACUUCCUAGAGUUUUGGUUAAUUAUAAUUAAAGUAAUCUGUGAAAGAAAAAAAAAAAAAAGCAGAUCCAAACUCUUCUUGCAAUUGGGAGGUACCUUGUUUUUUCCAAAUCCAUGACUACGACGGCCAAAUAAAAAAUAAACAUGCAAAAAAUUGACAAAUCAGAUUCAAGAGAUUCAAAAAAAAAAAAGAAACAAACAACCCUGAUUCUCUUCAUACAAACUAAUCUUAACUACAAUUCCAAGAUCUAUACAAACAAAUCAACAAAAUUAACAAAACCCAUAUUAAUUUUCACCGCAAAGAUUUUGAAAAUGUUACUCAAAUUUCUCAAAUCAUCAUAAACCUUACUUCUCCGGAAGCUUAAUAAAUCGACCCAUCACCCUUCUUCUUCGGCUUCCCAAUCGGAGCA
rnacentral:lncRNA from 1 species